GCUCCCGUAGCUCAGUGGUGAGAGCGGCGGCCUUAUAAGCCGCGCGUCGCGGGUUCAAUCCCCGCCGGGAGCA
rnacentral:tRNA from 1 species